rnacentral:rRNA from 1 species
GGCCAGACUCCUACGGGAGGCAGCAGUGGGGAAUAUUGCACAAUGGGGGAAACCCUGAUGCAGCGACGCCGCGUGAGUGAAGAAGUAUUUCGGUAUGUAAAGCUCUAUCAGCAGGGAAGAAAAUGACGGUACCUGACUAAGAAGCCCCGGCUAACUACGUGCCAGCAGCCGCGGUAAUACGUAGGGGGCAAGCGUUAUCCGGAUUUACUGGGUGUAAAGGGAGCGUAGACGGCAUGGCAAGUCAGAUGUGAAAGCCCGGGGCUCAACCCCGGGACUGCAUUUGAAACUGUCAGGCUGGAGUGCAGGAGAGGUAAGUGGAAUUCCUAGUGUAGCGGUGAAAUGCGUAGAUAUUAGGAGGAACACCAGUGGCGAAGGCGGCUUACUGGACUGUAACUGACGUUGAGGCUCGAAAGCGUGGGGAGCAAACAGGAUUAGAUACCCCGGUAAAG